UACGAAGGGGCUAGCGUUGCUCGGAAUCACUGGGCGUAAAGCGCACGUAGGCGGAUUGCUAAGUCAGGGUGAAAUCCUGGAGCUCAACUCCAGAACUGCCUUGAUACUGGCAAUCUCGAGUCCGGAGAGGUGAGUGGAACUGCGAGUGUAGAGGUGAAAUUCGUAGAUAUUCGCAAGAACACCAGUGGCGAAGGCGGACUCACUGGCCCGGUACUGACGCUGAG
rnacentral:rRNA from 1 species